rnacentral:tRNA from 1 species
GAUCUGGUGGUGUAGGGGUAACAUAACACGUUGUGGUUAUGAGAAGCUGCGGUAGAUCAUUUCUUGCCGUGUUGACCAGGGUUCAAGUCCCUGCCAGGUCA